UGAACAGGAGCUCAGUGGUAGAGCAAUUGCUUAGCAUGCAUAAGGUCCUGGGUUCAAGUCCCAGCAUUGCAU
rnacentral:tRNA from 1 species